CACACCGCCCGUCGCUACUACCGAUUGAAUGAUUUAGUGAGGCCUUCGGACUGGCGGUCUUGGACUGGGCUCCACUCGCCAUCACCCCAGCAAUGGGGGGCGGUGGACUCGCCAUGACGAGCCGGGAAAGAUGUCCAAACUUGAUCAUUUAGAGGAAGUAAAAGUCGUAACAAGGUUUCCGUAGGUGAACCUGCGGAAGGAUCAU
rnacentral:rRNA from 1 species